rnacentral:rRNA from 1 species
AUUGAACGCUGGCGGCAGGCCUAACACAUGCAAGUCGAACGAGUGGCGGACGGGUUAGUAAUGUCUGGGAAACUGCCUGAUGGAUGGGGUUCAGUACCGGACACGGUAGCUAAUACCGCAUACCAUCAGCUGGGCCCAGAUGGGAUUAGCGUGUUGGUGGGGUAACGGCUCACCAAGGCGACGAUCCCUAGCUGGUCUGAGAGGAUGACCAGCCAUACUGGAACUGAGACACGGUCCAGACUCCUACGGGAGGCAGCAGUGGGGAAUAUUGGACAAUGGGCGAAAGCCUGAUCCAGCCAUGCCGCGUGUAUGAAGAAGGCCUUCGGGUUGUAAAGUACUUUCAGCGGGGAGGCGUUACCCGCAGAAGAAGCACCGGCUAACUCCGUGCCAGCAGCCGCGGUAAUUC